UACGUAGGGUGCGAGCGUUUAAUCGGAAUUACUGGGCGUAAAGCGUGCGUAGGCGGUUCGUUAAGUUCGUCGUGAAAGCCCCGGGCUCAACCUGGGAAUGGCGAUGGAAACUGGCGGGCUGGAGUAUGGCAGAGGGGGGUGGAAUUCCGCGUGUAGCAGUGAAAUGCGUAGAUAUCGGGAGGAACACCAGUGGCGAAGGCGACUUCCUGGCCUGUUCUUGACGCUGAGGCGCGAAAGCUAGGGGAGCAAACGGGG
rnacentral:rRNA from 1 species